UCCCUGGUGGUCUAGCGGCAAGGCUUUAGUGUUCUCACCGCCACGACCUGGGUUUGAUCCCUGGUCAAGGAA